UUGGCUGUCAUUUGGUGGACAUGAGCUGG
rnacentral:piRNA from 1 species